rnacentral:lncRNA from 1 species
UGGACCGUUCCAUGUUAUGACUUGUUUUAAUGUUGCGUGUGGUUCAGUUGACCAAGGCGUAUGGUGGGAGCGCAUCUCUGGAGGGUAUGAUCUGCCAGCUCAAUUAAUGAGCUCAGAUCUAAUGCUCCUUGUUUUUUUGCAUUUUUUAUUUUCUGAUUUUAUUUUCUUUAAUUCCUUUUUAUUUCAAAAAUCAAUAUCUCUUUCAUUUUUAAUUCAAAAAU